rnacentral:rRNA from 1 species
CAGCCGCCACGGUAAUACGUAGGGUGCAAGCGUUAAUCGGAAUUACUGGGCGUAAAGCGUGCGUAGGCGGUGAGUUAAGUCUGCUGUGAAAUCCCCGGGCUCAACCUGGGAAUGGCAGUGGAUACUGGCUCGCUAGAGUGUGUCAGAGGAUGGUGGAAUUCCCGGUGUAGCGGUGAAAUGCGUAGAGAUCGGGAGGAACAUCAGUGGCGAAGGCGGCCAUCUGGGACAACACUGACGCUGAGGCACGAAAGCGUGGGGAGCAAACAGGAUUAGAUACCCCCGUAGUCCCUGUCUCUUAUAC